GACGAACGCUGGCGGCGUGCCUAAUACAUGCAAGUAGAACGCACAGUUUAUACCGUAGCUUGCUACACCAUAGACUGUGAGUUGCGAACGGGUGAGUAACGCGUAGGUAACCUGCCUGGUAGCGGGGGAUAACUAUUGGAAACGAUAGCUAAUACCGCAUAAUAUUGAUUAUUGCAUGAUAAUUGAUUGAAAUAUGCUAUUGCAUCACUACCAGAUGGACCUGCGUUGUAUUAGCUAGUAGGUGAGGUAACGGCUCAGCUAGGCGACGAUACAUAGCCGACCUGAGAGGGUGAUCGGCCACACUGGGACUGAGACACGGCCCAGACUCCUACGGGAGGCAGCAGUAGGGAAUCUUCGGCAAUGGACGAAAGUCUGACCGAGCAACGCCGCGUGAGUGAAGAAGGUUGUCGGAUCGUAAAGCUCUGUUGUAAGAGAAGAACGGGUGUGAGAGUGGAAAGUUCACACUGUGACGGUAUCUUACCAGAAAGGGACGGCUAACUACGUG
rnacentral:rRNA from 1 species